rnacentral:snRNA from 11 species
AUGUUUACCUAGCAGGUGACAUCCAAAUAUCAUGAAGGUGGGAUUCUUGGGGUAAGACUAAUUCAUUGUACUCAGGAUGUACUAAUUCCUGCAAUUUUUCCAAAUUCAUGAAAAUCAACUACACAAUUUGAGAAAGGGGGAACUCUAUUCAUACUCUCCUCUU